rnacentral:rRNA from 1 species
GACAGAGGGUGCAACCGUUGUUCGGAAUUACUGGGCGUAAAGCGUGUGUAGGCGGCUACAUAAGUCGGAUGUGAAAGCCCCGGGCUCAACCCGGGAAGUGCACUCGAUACUGCGUAGCUUGAGUCUCGGAGGGGUUGGUGGAAUUCUCGGUGUAGAGGUGAAAUUCGUAGAUAUCGAGAGGAACACCGGUGGCGAAGGCGGCCAACUGGACGAAGACUGACGCUGAGACACGAAAGCGUGGGGAGCAAACAGG